UACCGAUAAAGGCAAACCCUGAGCAAUCAGGGGACGCAAAGUAAAGGGUCU
rnacentral:ncRNA from 1 species